rnacentral:rRNA from 1 species
CAGUCGCCGCGGUAAUACAGAGGGUGCGAGCGUUAAUCGGAUUUACUGAGCGUAAAGCGUGCGUAGGCGGCUUCUUAAGUCGGAUGUGAAAUCCCUGAGCUUAACUUAGGAAUUGCAUUCGAUACUGGGAAGCUAGAGUAUGGGAGAGGAUGGUAGAAUUCCAGGUGUAGCGGUGAAAUGCGUAGAGAUCUGGAGGAAUACCGAUGGCGAAGGCAGCCAUCUGGCCUAAUACUGACGCUGAGGUACGAAAGCAUGGGGAGCAAACAGGAUUAGAUACCCCUGUAGUCCCUGUCUCUUAUAC